AACCAUAUUUUAUUUGAAAAAAAACAAAAACAAAAACAAAAGAAUACAACCAUAUUUUAUUUGCAAAAAAACAAAAACAGAACCUUUUCUUUUCUAGUUGAAAUGUUGUCAACAUGACCAUUUCUUCCUAAGUUUUGCUGUAAUAAUUUAUGGUCCUUUUCUUUUUUUUUUUAAAUUUUUUUAUUAUAUUAUGUUAGUCACCAUACAGUACAUCCCUGGUUUCUGAUGUAAAGUUCGAUGAUUCAUUAGUUCUUUUCUGAAUCGAGUUUGUCCAUCACUGUGGUAAAUGGUAGGCCUCCAAAUGCAAACACGACGUUUUUGUGAGGGUUUCGACAGUGAGGCGGGUUGUGAGCAAUUUAAUGUAAGGCUGUCUCAGCGCAGGCGAGGUGCUCGUGGAGCGUGUGCAGCCGGCCCCCCAGAGGAGCAAAAGACGUCGCCAUAGUCAACAUGUAUUGAAUUGUGCCACUCUUCUGACCCCGAAGAGAACCAGGAAAAGGUAAAAGGAUGGUGAGGGCAGGUGAAUUAUACUGUCUAUGUUAGAGGAAAGGGGUCUGUUUUGAAGCCGAAGGUAAGUAAACCAGGAGCUGCAGUUACGGAGAGAACACUGUCAUUGUAAUAAAGAGAGCCAAGGAGCUCCAAUGAGUGAGAAAUCAAUGUCUCUUUCAGGAACUCUCCACCACAGGUAGGCAAGCCCUGCCCCAGGAAAUCAUUCAGGGACCAGGCCGGCGGGGUGGCCCUGCCAUCCUUGACUGAGUGCUUUCCAACACUGCCCCAUUCUCUCCUAUGUCUAGCUCAUAAGAUAGAAAGGCGAGAACAACCGGGGCAGAGCACCUUUUAAUUUAUUUAAUAAAUUUAUUGCAUUUUAAUUUAUUUUGAUUUUUUUGUCAAUAGAAAUUCUCAAGCACACACCCAUGUAAAAAUAAUGGAGUAUAAGAUACCCCCAUAUGCCCAUCACUCAAAGUCACCUUCCUGUGGUAGAACUUGUAAGAUUUACGUCCUCCAAAUACGCCUUCCCCCUUUGCUGUAUUAUUUUUAAUCAAAUCUCAAACCCCUUUAAGAAGCUAUCUGAAAGUUGCAGACAUCACUGCGUCGCUUGGUAACAACUCAGUCACCUGGCCACAUCUAGCUGUAGGCAAGGCUGGGCAGAGUGUCUGGGGGCGGCUGUGUGCCCAGGGUGGAGGAGAAAAUGCCACACUUGAGGUCACAGGAUUUGGGGCGGGAGGGGGGUCCUUGAGAGAGGCCACAGAGACUGACGUGAAAUCUCUCAAGGAAGACUAAGGACAUUUCGAAACUGCAGUAAAAACAAAGUGAUGGCAACUGCAUACCGAAACCCUGUGAAAGGGUAUCGUGAGCCUUACGCUCUUGAAUUUUUAGCAAAUGCAACAUUUGCUGAACAAAAACAGAACAGCAAAAUGAAGUGGCUUAGAAAGGCAUCACAGAAUCUUGCUUUUUUCUCACCUGUGUAAAAUUAGCUGAGAUAAUGAUUUUGGAGGAGAGUCAAUAUAUAUGUAAAUUAUGAAGAUGUUUUUUUUGCUUCUGCUGUUGGAACCCUGUCUUGUAAGGUGUUAAAAGGUGUAUGUGUGUUUAAUGCCUUGUGUAUCUUCUGGUAAUAAAAAGAACAAGACACCACAGAACUUAAAAUGAGCAAAAGAACUGGUUUAAACUAGUUUAAUGAAUCAAUUCAUGCCAAGAAACAUUUAUGGAGCUUGUAGUACAUUCUAGGAUUGUCCUGGGUCUCCGGGAUACGAGGAUAACAGAUAGUCCUUGUUCUCAGGGGCUCCAUCUGAGGGCAGAUAUGCACGCAAGCAUCUAACCAUAAUGCAAAACAGAAUGACCUGGGUGCCAGUCGAGGGUAGUGGGCAUCCACUGUUCUACCUGUCCACUGUCCAUUCCCUUCCUGCAAGUGUCUUGCUUUUCCUCAGGGGCCACCACUCUUCACUCUUAGUUCACAGGGAAGCGGAUUCAGCCUCCAUGCCUGGUCCAUCAGAGCAAAGGCUUUUCCUGUGCCCAAAGUGAUUGCUUGGGAAUGGGUACAUGACUCUAACAGAACCAAUGAUUUUUGUGCAGUUAUGGAGAAAAGAAACUCUCUUUCAUGCUCUGGAGUGACUGGGCGAGCGUGUAACUCUGGAACUCUGGGACACCAUCUUGCCACUGUAAGGGGAGCCUGCCUGAGAAUGAGGCCCCAUGAAAGAGAACAGAGGUGGUGCUGUGGACUGAUUCUCCCCCUGACUCAUUUCCUGUUUCAUGAUGCCUACCGCGCAGUAUUGCUGGGAUACGUCAGCCGAGGCGCUGCCUUACUGGAAUGACCGUUGUCCCCACUUUCCUUUACGCGAUGAAGAAUUAACUGUUCAGGCUUCAAAACACAGAAGAGCCGGAUCCCUAGCACGUUCCCAGACAUUCGCUUCAAACAAACCUCAGCUGACGCUGGCAUCAACACCCCUACCUUCAGUAGUUUAUGAAAUAAUACCUGUUGCUCACAUGACACCAGCCUUUGAUUGGACCCUGUCCUCGAUUCUUAAAGAAACACGUGGCCUGGACCCCUUUCCAGUAUAAACCCCUCACCCCAAGUGAUGACGAGACUCACUCUUCUUUCCUUCCUGAGUCUCCCAGACACCCUGUCAGCUACCCUCUGUCACUCAGGCUCUUCAAUAAACUGCUUUC